GCUUUUCCUCUAGGCUCUUCAGCUCCUUCAUUCAUUUCCUCUUGAUACACGAUUAAAAGAUGGAAGUUUGUUUUGGCAGUCACCAAAGAGGCCACCUUUCCCAGUGAAGUUUGAAUUUAAUGAUCCUUUGCACUACGGUUUCAUCGUGAGCGCAGCGAAACUCUUUGCGACAGUGUACUGUGUUCCCUUCACAGAGAAGGAUUUGUCAGAGGAAACUAUUUUGAAGAUUAUUUCAGCUGUGAAGGUACCAGAGUUCAGACCU